UGGGCGAUCCAAAGCUGGUGUACUGAAGGGCGGUCCAUUCAGCAAUAUUUCAGAAUUAGCAGCUGGGCUAUCCAUAGUCUGCAUAAAAUGAGAUAAAUUCUGCUCCGGUUGUGUGACUGCUUCAGCAUGUUACCAUGACGGAUAUUUGUAUGAAGACUGGAGCAUCUGAAAAAUAAAUAAAACCAGCAGCAAACAAAGUUCAAUUCUUAAGGGUGGGAGAGGAUGGGUCUUAAUUUUUUAACGUCCUCUCUGUUCGGUUUUCAAGGUAAAAGAGACCGUUAAAUUGCACGGACUUUUACUACUCGGCUGUCACAUGCUCAAAUUAGCAUAAUAAGAG
rnacentral:lncRNA from 1 species